AACGAACGCUGGCGGCAUGCCUAACACAUGCAAGUCGAACGAGACCUUCGGGUCAAGUGGCGCACGGGUGCGUAACGCGUGGGAAUCUGCCCUGGGGUGCGGAAUAACUCGGAGAAAUCCGUGCUAAUACCGCAUAAUGUCUUCGGACCAAAGAUUUAUCGCCCUGGGAUGAGCCCGCGUAGGAUUAGCUAGUUGGUGGGGUAAAGCCUACCAAGGCGACGAUCCUUAGCUGGUCUGAGAGGAUGAUCAGCCGCACUGGGACUGAGACACGGCCCAGACUCCUACGGGAGGCAGCAGUGGGAAUAUUGGACAAUGGGCGAAAGCCUGAUCCAGCAAUGCCGCGUGAGUGAUGAAGGCCCUAGGGUUGUAAAGCUCUUUUACCCGGGAUGAUAAUGACAGUACCGGGAGAAUAAGACUCCGGCUAACUCCGUGCCAGCAGCCGCGGUAA
rnacentral:rRNA from 1 species